rnacentral:lncRNA from 1 species
CACGGAGCAACAGUUCAUUGGGAAAGGAAAGGGGAGGGAGGAGGCUCAGGGAUGGUCCUGUAUCAGCCUGUGCCUUGCAGGGGUUCAACCAUGCAACCCCAACCGCGUUCCUUUGCUUUUAAGUCGAACCAGUAGAGCGUUUUGUUUCAAACUACGUACAUCCUUUGUCCUUUACAAUAUCCCGUCCUAGAACCCCUUAAAAAUCAGUUAUUUAGAUGAGAAAGUCGAGCCCUGUACCUGGAGAGGCCAGUUCUGUAUAGCGGAAAAAAUGAAACUGGGGACCGGCUGGCCAGAUAUCGGAGGCCCCAGGGCUGGUGAUGAGCUCGUGUUUGCCAAACCUAACACCUCACCCUCCGGCCAACGCGAGAAUCCGAGUAUCCCCCACGCCCUCUCAAGCUUGGAUGCCGUUCCCAUCCGACCACUGCCUUUGGCUCACACCAGAGUUCUGCAGAGAUGUCACCGCGAGGACACCCAAACAGGCUGCAGGGAAAAGAAAACUGUGAAUUCAGGCAGGCUAGGGCAAACUCAUCAUCAGGAAAAGAACUGCAGAUCGCAAAUUAAACCAAAUGAUGCCCAGAGAACACAGAAUUUUAAAUGGAAACCUAUGGGGAAAGAUUCAAAGAUUUCAUGUAAACAAAUUUUCUUGGUCAAUAAAGUUCCAUUUGUUUCCAUAACCUCUCCCUCCCCAGUAAAUGAAUAAUAAACUGUCUAAAGUUUAGGACUGUAAGCCACCUCAUUAAGUGAAGAAAGAGGGGCUCAAAUGGGAAAAUAACUUGCUCAAGAUUCUGAAGGUAGACCCGAAGACGAAAUGAUUGAUCUGUGAAUGACCAUGUGAUAUUAUUAAUUCUGGUCUCCUAAUUCAGAGUUUGCAAUAAUUCGCAAACGG